rnacentral:rRNA from 1 species
GGGCCCGCACAAGCGGUGGAGCAUGUGGUUUAAUUCGAUGCAACGCGAAGAACCUUACCAGGGUUUGACAUCCUGCGAAUUUCUGGGAAACCGGAAAGUGCCUUCGGGAGCGCAGUGACAGGUGGUGCAUGGCUGUCGUCAGCUCGUGUCGUGAGAUGUUGGGUUAAGUCCCGCAACGAGCGCAACCCACGUCUUUAGUUGCCAGCACAUUAUGGUGGGAACUAUAAGGGGACUGCCGGUGAUAAACCGGAGGAAGGUGAGGACGACGUCAAGUCAUCAUGGCCCUUACGAGUAGGGCUACACACGUGCUACAAUGGGGAAUACAGACGGACGCUAAGCCGCGAGGUGGUGCU